CCAUAACAUGGCAGUACAAUCACUGCUCGCCAAACAACUACGAGUGAAAACUUAAAACUUAAAGGACUUGACGGUACUUCACCCAGCCUAGAGGAGCCUGUCCAAUAACCGAUAACCCACGAUUAAUCCAACCACUUCUGGCCACCCAGUCUAUAUACCGCCGUCGCCAGCCCACCUUGCAAAAGAAACAAAGUGAGCCAAAUAGUACUACACUAAAACGACAGGUCGAGGUGUAACUUAUGAAGUGGACCAAGAUGGGCUACAUUUUCUAACACAGACUAUACGAACAAGGACYUGAAAUAGUCUCUCAAAGGUGGAUUUAGCAGUAAGCUAAGAACAUAAUACCUAGCUGAAACCAUUGCAA
rnacentral:rRNA from 1 species